rnacentral:rRNA from 1 species
GUGAGGAAUAUUGCACAAUGGGCGCAAGCUUGAUGCAGCAACGCCGCGUGGGUGAUGAAGGCCUUCGGGUCGUAAAACCCUUUUCUGGGGAAAGAGUAAGGACGGUACCCCAGGAACAAGUCUCGGCUAACUAUGUGCCAGCAGCCGCGGUAAUACAUAGGAGGCUAGCGUUAUCCGGAUUUAUUGGGCGUAAAGUGCGUUGAGGCGGCCCUGUAAGUUGGACGUGAAAGCUCCUGGCUCAACUGGGAGAGGUCGUUCAAUACUGCGGGGCUUGAGGGCAGUAGAGGGGGGUGGAAUUCCCGGUGAAGCGGUGAAAUGCGUAGAUAUCGGGAGGAACACCAGUGGCGAAGGCGGCCCCCUGGGCUGCUCCUGACGCUGAAGGCGAAAGCUAGGGGAGCGAACGGGAUUAGAAACCCCUGUAGUCC